CAAUAGCGUAUAUUAAAGUUGUUGCGGUUAAAAAGCUCGUAGUUGGAUUUCUGCUGAGAACGACCGGUCCGCCCAUUGGGUGUGUAUCUGGCUCUUUCUUGGCAUCUUCUUGGUGAACGUUACUGCACUUGACUGUGUGGAGCGCUACCCAGGACUUUUACUUUGAGGAAAUUAGAGUGUUUCAAGCAGGCAUACGCCUUGAAUACGUUAGCAUGGAAUAAUAAGAUAGGACCUCGGUUCUAUUUUGUUGGUUUCUAGAGCUGAGGUAAUGAUUAAUAGGGAUAGUUGGGGGCAUUCGUAUUUAACUGACAGAGGUGAAAUUCUUGGAUUUGUUAAAGACGGACUACUGCGAAAGCAUUUGCCAAGGAUGUUUUCAUUGA
rnacentral:rRNA from 1 species